rnacentral:rRNA from 1 species
GACGAACGCUGGCGGCGUGCCUAAUACAUGCAAGUUGAGCGAUGAAGAUUGGUGCUUGCACCAAUUUGAAGAGCAGCGAACGGGUGAGUAACGCGUGGGGAAUCUGCCUUUGAGCGGGGGACAACAUUUGGAAACGAAUGCUAAUACCGCAUAACAACUUUAAACAUAAGUUUUAAGUUUGAAAGAUGCAAUUGCAUCACUCAAAGAUGAUCCCGCGUUGUAUUAGCUAGUUGGUGAGGUAAAGGCUCACCAAGGCGAUGAUACAUAGCCGACCUGGGAGGGUGAUCGGCCACAUUGGGACUGAGACACGGCCCAAACUCCUACGGGAGGCAGCAGUAGGGAAUCUUCGGCGAUGGACGAAAGUCGGACCGAGCAACGCCGCGUGAGUGAAGAAGGUUUUCGGAUCGUAAAACUCUGUUGGUAGAGAAGAACGUUGGUGAGAGUGGAAAGCUCAUCAAGUGACGGUAACUACCCAGAAAGGGACGGCUAACUACGUG